GGGAAAUGUUUUGCAUCGAUUCAGGACAACAAGAUAGCAAAGUAAAGGGCAACUAAAGACACAAAAGAGGACUUCCAGAACUGCUUCAGAAAGUGGAAAGAAUGAUGGGAUGAGAAACCAAGACCCAAAGGAGGUCACACAAUUGCCCGAAGUCACACAUUCGAACACUGUCCUAGACCUGUUUUAAGAAUCAGCUAUGAGGGAGAGCUGAAGUUCUGGGGUGAAGCCUGAACCCUCUAAAUCCCCCAUCAUAAGCAGCCAGCCGACCUCAGGCCCAGGAAGUGCUUGAGGACAUCCCUCCCCGUGCGUGCGUCUCCGCCGUGGUCCCCAGCACUUCUGCACCUGGACUUGGUCAUUUUACAGCCCGGCACUCGACCACAGCCGGAGGGAAGCGAGCUUCUCAUCCGAAGCUGUCUUCUUAGGUGCAAUAUGUAAACUGUCUUGAAUUCAGCCAUGGAAAGUUAAAUCCUG
rnacentral:lncRNA from 1 species